GCCUGGAUAGCUCAGUGGUAAGAGCAUUGGCCCAGAAAGCAAGAUUCCGGGUUCGAGUCCCGGUUCGGAACA